UAUGGCCAUAUAACGUUGAAAUACCGGUUCUCGUCUGAUCACCGAAGUUAAGCAACGUUGUACCUGGUCAUUACCUAGGUGACCGCAGGAGAAUACCAGGUGUUGUAAG